UACGUAGGGUGCAAGCGUUGUCCGGAAUUAUUGGGCGUAAAGAGCUCGUAGGCGGCUUGUCGCGUCGGCUGUGAAAACCUGGGGCUUAACCCCGGGCGUGCAGUGGAUACGGGCAGACGUAGAGUGCUGUAGGGGAGACUGGGAAUUCCUGGUGUAGCGGUGAAAUGCGCAGAUAUCAGGAAGAACACCAAUGGCGAAGGCAGCUCUCUGGGACGGUACUGACGCUGAGACGCGAAAGCGUGGGGAGCGAACAGG
rnacentral:rRNA from 1 species